AAACAUUUAAACGUGUUAACCCUCGCAAGGCUGCAGGCCCAGACGGCAUCCCCGGCCGCGUCCUCAGAGCAUGCGCAGACCAGCAGGCUGGUGUGUUUACAGACAUAUUCAAUCAAUCCUUAUACCAGUCUGCUGUCCCUACAUGCUUCAAGAGGGCCACCAUUGUUCGUGUUCCCAAGAAAGCGAAGGUAACUGAGCUAAAUGACUACCGCCCUGCAGCACUCACUUCCGUCAUCAGGAAGUGCUUUGAGACACUAGUCAAGGACCAUAUCACCUCCACCCUACCUGACACCCUAGACCCACUCCAAUUUGCUUACCGACCCAAUAGGUCCACAGACGACGCAAUCGCCAUCACACUGCAUACUGCCCUAACCCAUGUGGACAAGAGGAAUACCUAUGUAAGAAUGCUGUUCAUCGAUUACAGCUCAGCAUCUAACACCAUAGUACCCUCCAAACUCGUCAUUAAGCUCUAGACCCUGGGUCUCGACCCCGCCCUGUGCAACUGGGUCCUGGACUUCUUGACGGGCCUCCCCCAGGUGGUGAGGGUAGGUAACAACAUCUCCACCCCGCUGAUCCUCAACACUGGUCCCCACAAGGGUGUGUUCUCAGCCCUCUUCUGUACUCCCUGUUCACCCACGACUGCGUGGCCAUGCACGCAUCCAACUCAAUCAUCAAGUUUGCAGACGACACUACAGUAGUAGGCUUGAUUACCAACAAUGACGAGACGGCCUACAGGGAGGAGGUGAGGGCCCUCGGAGUGUGGUGUCAGGAAAAUAACCUCGCACUCAAUGUCAAUAAAACAAAAGAGAUGAUCGUGGACUUCAGGAAACAGCAGAGGGAGCAGCCCCCUAUCUACAUUGACGGGACAGUAGUGGAGAGGGUGGAGAGUUUUAAGUUCCUCGGCGUACACAUCACGGACAAACUGAAAUGGUCCACCCACACAGACAGCGUGGUGAAGAAGGCGCAGCAGCGCCUCUUCAACCUCAGGAGGCUGAAGAAAUUCGGCUUGUCACCAAAAACACUCACAAACUUUUACAGAUGCACAAUCGAGAGCAUCCUGUCGGGCUGUAUCACCGCCUGGUACGGCAGCUGCUCCGCCCAUAACCGGAAGGCUCUCCAGAGGGUAGUGAGGUCUGCACAACGCAUCACCGGGUGCAAACUACCUGCCCUCCAGGACACCUACACCACCCAAUGUCACAGGAAGGCCAAAAAGAUAAUCAAGGAUAGCAACCACCCGAGCCACUGCCUGUUCACCCCGCUAACAUCCAGAAGGUGAGGUGGUGGAGUUCAUCGUGGCCAACCCGCAUAGGGCCUGUGUGGGUAUGGACCAGGUCUGGGGUGUUGAGGGGCCAGUGGAGACCAAGACCCUCAGCAUGGGAAUGGGCCUGAUGGCCACCCUGCUCUCAGGACCCUCAUUGUUGAGUGCUGAGGACUACUCAGCAAUGCCAAGGCUCCUCCCACCCUUGGAGGAGAUUUCCCAGAGGCACCCUGAGGUGGUGAUCCAGGAUCUGGCAGACCACCGCCAUCACCACACGGGGCAUACCACCCUGACAACGUGACGUGAGCAGCUACAUACCAAAACGGACAAUAACAUCCCUUCUGAGAAGAACCUAAACAUCCAGCGUCCCCAAACAAGUCACUCAAACUAGACUCCCCUCACCCACCUCUCAUUCCAACCACAGCACACACACUUCUCAAACACCUAACACACCAGCCC
rnacentral:lncRNA from 1 species